rnacentral:rRNA from 1 species
GACGAACGCUGGCGGCGUGCUUAACACAUGCAAGUCGAACGGAAAGGCCCCUUUGGGGGUCCUCGAGUGGCGAACGGGUGAGUAACACUUGAGUAACCUGCCCUUGACUUCGGGAUAACUUCAGGAAACUGGGGCUAAUACCGGAUAGGAAUCCUUGCUGCAUGGUGGGGGUUGGAAAGCUUCGGCGGUUUUGGAUGGACUCGCGGCUUAUCAGCUUGUUGGUGGGGUAGUGGCUUACCAAGGCUUUGACGGGUAGCAGGCCUGAGAGGGCGACCGGCCACAUUGGGACUGAGGGACGGCCCAGACGCCGACGGGAGGCAGCAGUGGGGAAGAUUGCACAAUGGGCGGAAGCCGGAUGCAGCAACGCCGCGUGCGGUAUGACGGCCUUCGGGUUGUAAACCGCUUUCAGCAGGGGCGAAGCUUGUGGUGACGGUACCUGCAGAAGAAGCACCGGCUAACUACGUG